rnacentral:rRNA from 1 species
ACCUAGUCCCACCACACCCCCAAGGGUAUUCAGCAGUGAUAGAUAUUGUCUAUAAGCGCUAGCUUGACCCAGUUAUAGAGAAGAGAGCCGGCCAACUUGGUGCCAGCCGCCGCGGCUAGACCAACUGGACUCAAAUUGAUAAUCCCCGGCGUUAAGCGUGAUUAAAGCCAUGAACAAAUUAGAGUUAAACCUACGUUGAGCAGUGAAAAGCACACGAUAGGGAAAUCCAAAAACGAAAGUUAUUCUAAUCCUUGCUUGAAUACACGACAGCUAGGACACAAACUGGGAUUAGAUACCCCACUAUGCCUAGCCGUAAACUAUUAACCUACACCCACCCGCGCCAGGGAACUACGAGCUUUAGCUUAAAACCCAAAGGACUUGACGGUGUCCCACCCAACUAGAGGAGCCUGUUCUAUAAUCGAUGACCCCCGCUCCACCCAACCCCCCCUUGCUUUAUCAGCCUGUAUACCUCCGUCGUAAACCCGCCGUAUGAAUGAACCCAAGCGGAUUUAAUGGUCCCACACCAACACGUCAGGUCAAGGUGCAGCCAAUGGGAGAGGUAAGUGAUGGGCUACAAUUUCUAGUCUAGAACAAACGAAAUUCUGCAUGAAACACAGUUAUGAAGGAGGAUUUAGUAGUAAAAAGAAAGUAGCGUGUUCUUUUUAACAUGGCCCUGGGACGUGUACACA